AGUAACCUCCAAGGACCCCAGCUUGCACUAAGAGCACUGAGGAAAUGUGUCCACAGCCUGUUCUUGCUGAGCUGACCCAAACGCUUAGAAGAACACGAUAUGAAUCAGUAACCCCACUUCCUGUGAAAAGUGCAACCACAAGUGGCCAUCUGCACUGGCAUACAGGCAGGCAAUUGUCCAAGGAAAGAAUUUGGAGCUUCCAAUCUGAUUCCAACCUUUUCCAUGUGAUCUCUUGUACCCAUUCUAUUUUUGUACCACACAUAAUAAAGUUUGAGAGUGUCAA
rnacentral:lncRNA from 1 species